rnacentral:rRNA from 1 species
UACGUAGGGUGCAAGCGUUGUCCGGAAUUAUUGGGCGUAAAGAGCUCGUAGGCGGUCUGUCGCGUCUGCUGUGAAAACUCGGGGCUUAACCCCGGGCCUGCAGUGGGUACGGGCAGACUAGAGUGCGGUAGGGGAGACUGGAAUUCCUGGUGGUAGCGGUGAAAUGCGCAGAUAUCAGGAGGAACACCGGUGGCGAAGGCGGUGGUCUGGGCCGGCACUGACGCUGAGGCACGAAAGCGUGGGGAUCAAACAGG